UCAACAGCUUCAAGGCUAUCAUAAAUCUAGAGAAGAUUCGUAGUACAGUGUCGUACAUGGGGGUGAAUGGUCGGAAUGGUAGUGGCUUCUAUACCUAUUCCAUUGGAAUUGUUAUGAAAGGACAAGAUAUGGAAUUGGUGAAAAUUUUCACCAUGUGGAUGAUCAUUGAUCUAUCAAACAAUCAGUUUGAAGGGGGUAUUCCAAAGGUUAUUGGGAAGCUUAACUUACUGAAAGGGCUCAACCUUUCUCAUAAUAACCUUAGUGGUGGUAUCCCCACCUCAACAGGGAAUUUGACAAGUCUUGAAUGGUUAUGUAGUUUUAGAUGUUAAGGAUAGGCUGUUAUAUGAAAGGUCGCGAUGUUUUAGAUUUGGAAGGUUUGAGAACAUGCGAAGCUCUAUGACACCACUAAGAUUAUUUGAGGAUAAGCUGAGGGAGGUAAGAUUGAGAAGUUGGAAUAUUGAAGAUGGAAGAGGACCUUGGAGUUUAUUAUUUUCUAGAUCUAAAUAUUCUAGUGAUUUGGUUUGGAAUUCUUUGAUAUGACGGAAGUGUUCCAUUGAGUAAAUUGUCAAAUAACACUAAAUAUAUUAGAUUCGGAACAGCGGUUACCUCAUCUGGAAUAGAACCUUCUAAAGAAUUUUCAGAUAUUUCCAAGUAUUCCAACUGCGUUAGGUUUAGAAUUGACAAUGGAAUUUGUCCACUCAAUUUGUUUGAUCCCAAGUCUAAAUGAGUGAGUUGCAAGAGGUUUCCAAGUGAUCUUGGACCGGUCCUGAUAAGUUGGAAUCGGAGAGAACUAAAAACUUCAAGGACACAAGAUUCCCCAUCGAGUCAGGCAAUCCUCCAAAAAAAUUUGCGCCUCUAAUAAUCAAGUACUCCAAAGAUGAUAAAUUUGUGAUUGAGGCAGACAAUCCUUGAAAGAAAGAAUUUCCUGAUAGGUCUAGGUACUUUAAGGCCUGUAGAUUAUCAACCGAAUCAAUGAAUUCUGUAGAGAAGGACAUCCACGACAGAUCCAAAUGUUCGAGAUUGCUGCUCCGAUUGAACUUCAAAGUAUCAAGGUUGAGGUUUUGGUUACGUCCCAAGUUGAGGAGAUUGAGGUUUGGCAAAUCAAAAAUGUUUUUUGGGAAUUUUCCUUGCAAAUCACAACCAGCAAGACUGAGAGACCUUAGAGAAGAGGAUAGAUUCAUGAACACAUGAGCAUUAACAGAAGACAUGUUGAUUCCAUCCAAAAACAGGUGUCUGACCUCGGUUAGGUUGUGAACAAGUCCCUCCAGAGCAUAUUUGUCAAUUGUUUGUUCACCAAACACAGAGGAGGAGAGAUCAAGUGAAACCAAUUUUGACAGGUGGGAGACUUGGGAUGGGACUUCUCCUGCAAACCAUGUAUAAGAAAGCUUGAGGUAGAAUAGGCUUGUAAACCGACCGAACUCGGACCUAUCUUCAAACAUAUUAAAUACCCAUUCACUUCAAUUCUACUAUUCUUAAAUCAUUAAAGUUUUGUGGAAAAUAUGCUUCUUGGAUAAAAAUUAUUCAACACACAUGCCUUGAAUUUUAUGCAAUAAAAUAAAUCAAUAUAGGCCACACAUGCUUUGAAUUUUUAAGUAGUCCACAAUUUUGUUCGUUUGUGUGCAAGAUUCUACAUUGCUUGACAGCCAUACAUACUAAGUAAAUAGACACCCACAUUGUUUACGUAUUAUGAGGAAGAAGAUUAAGUCAAUCUACUUUGUAAUCUCAUCAAUCUUAAUUUUCUCAGUUGUUUAGGGAGUUCAAAUGAAAUACAAAAUUUUGGAAAAAAAAUGUAUCCAAUUUUGUGAAUGAAAAAUAUAUGGUAAAAAGGAUUUGGUAUGGAUACUUCGGCCCGGGUAUCAAUACUCAGAGUAAGUUAAAGCAUCAGUGGAUGAAGAAGGAUCUGGUUGGUGCAAAUGAAGUUAAAGCAUUUGUGCUGUGUCUUCAUAAUUUCUUGUUUAGUAGUCUGUCAGAAAGUUUUUCCUAUGGUGAAAAGUUGCAUUGGUAUGUGUCUGUUUUUAUGAUUGUACCAAUUCCUCUGUAUUUCAUUGCAUUUCGUACUAUUUGUAAGGGUUUAGUUCGAGUGUAACAUCUUGUAUGGUGCAACUAUGUGUGUCUUCUUUCUUGAAUUUCAAUUUUUAGUAAACAUUGUACUGCUCACCAUAAAAAAGGAUACAUGUAGAAUUACAAAAGAUUCAAUUAUUCAAGUUUGAGUUGCAUUUAUAAACACGUGGCGAUGAGAAUUUAUGAACGUAAGGUAUGGUUUGAGCCCUUUUGCCAUAUGCAUUUAUGUUGCAGAUGUUCAAAUAUUAAUUUAAGAGUAAUAUUUACAAUAGCAUUGCAGAGUAACAUAUUUAAGAUUGGAUUACACAGUCAAAAGAUUGCAGCAACGAUGAGAUUAAUACAAUUACAGGAAUUGGUAUCCUACAUGGCUUUUAGGCACGUAGCUUCAUUGACGAUGAGAUAAUUUUAGGAGGAAGCAACAGCAAGUGUGAAGUCAAUAGACAAUUGAUAGUCUUUAUUCUUUUGUGUGGAAAAUUAUUUGGGACCAAACUUAACGUGUUAUAAGGAAGAAGACUUUGUAAUCUCAUGAAAUGUUAAUUAUUUUACUUCUUUGGUAAAAAAAAAGGAAUUAAUUUUAUGAAUGAAAAACAUAUGGUAAAAAGGAAAUAGUUGUUGAUCACUAACAACAUGAUGAUUGUGGAAAUACAAAAAUUCCCAUAUAUGUGUUGAAUUCUGCAUAAUGUAAAUGUCCCGCAUUGCAUGUGAAUUCUGCAAUAGACCAAAUUUUACGUGUUAUAGUCCUUUAAACUGAGUUAAUGAAAAGUAAUCAUUCUUAUCAAAAUUAGUUAUACUCUUAAUUUAUAAUAAAAGAAAGAGUAAUUUGAGUUUAACUCAAAGGUUAAUAUGUCAUCAAUGGGCGAUGGCAUGGCGCUACCAUGUCAGCGAUUAUUUUCUUCUUUGAGUUAAGGUGAUUUCACCAAUUUUAGUUUACUUUUUAACUUCAAUUUAGGUUUAUGCUUAUUAGCUUCGAAGAUUCUAUGUGGGUGCCACAAUCAAAGGGUGAGUAAAAAGGGUUAAAAAUAAUUUUUUUUAAAAUAUUUUUAUUUUUAUUAAAAAUUUAGAAUUAGAAUUAGACAAAUUUUGUAAAUGUUAAGGGCUAACUUUAUUGAAUUUUUUUUUUCAGAAUUCGAACUAAAAUGACAAAUUUUGUAAAAAGCGCUAAAUUUGUUGAAUUUUUUAUAUUUAAGAUCAAAUUGAUAGAAUGUGUAAAUAUUAGAGGUUAAAUUCGUUAUUAGAUAAAAAAAAACCCACAUCAGCUUUCCGUCACUCAUCUAACGACAACUAAAGGGAGAGUGAUUAAAAUAUUUAAUUUCAAAAAGUUUAGCAACUAAUUGGAAAAUUUAAUAGUUGGGUGACUAUUUUUAUAGUUUACAACUUUUUUGGUCACCUGACUAUUAAGUGACACUUUUUUGUUGGAAUAAUAAUAAUUUUAGUCCUCAAUUUUUAUACUUUUUGUCAAUUUAACUCUGAUUAUAUAAAAUGAUUACAAAAAUGAAAUUCUUUUUAAAUUUUACAAAAUUAUAAAAAUUAAAAAUUAAAUGAAAGUAGAUAAGAAUUUCAAAUAUAAAUAAAGUGAGAGAAAAUGAGGGAAAUAUCAUUUUUAAACCCUACAAAUUGUCUUUGUAUUAUCUGUAAAGAAAUAUCUAAUAUCCAUUCUUUUAGAAAACAUAGAAAAAAGUUAAAAAAAGAUUAAGUAAAAUUAUCUGUAUAUAAUCUGCUUUUAUAAUUUGGGUUUUUAAAAAUAAAUUUAAAUGAAUUGAAAAUUCAAAUUGAGUUUGAAAAAGAAAAUUUUGAGGUAUAUUUUAUAUUUUUGCUAGAAAAAUGGCAUCAAAGUCGAUUUCGUAAGCUUUUGUAAUAUCAGUUACAGAUGUUCUUCAAGGGCAUGGAACUCAACUUGAAAAUUUUACUAAUUUGGUUGCAAAAAACAUUGAGGAAGCAUAUAAUGAUCUAACCUUUUUUUUUUGUUUUGUUCUGUUUUUAAUUUGUUAUGGGAUUCUAUUGAAUGAUAAUUUUUUUUAUUUCCCAUACAUUUUAGUUCUUCAACAACAACAUAUUCGAGAUUUUAUUUUUCUAGAAUUUUUAUAUAGAAGUUUAUAUUUUUUAAAAUAAUUUUGAGUUUCUUUUUAUAAUUUUUAUAUAGAAUCGAGGUAGAUUGGCAAAAAAAAUUAUAUAACAAAAUAGUAAAAUUGUUAUUAUAGCAACUACAAAGUGUCAUUUAACAAUAGGGUGACCAAAUUGUAACUUUUUUAGUUAAGUGACCAAAACGAAGAUUUACCCAUAGUUCAGUGGCUAAUUAUGUAGUUUACCCUUUCAUGAUUAAAAAAAUAGUUGUUAAGUUUUUCUUGUAUUAGAUAAGAUUUUAGAUGGUAAAAACCCUCGUUAGUCGCUCUCAAUUUUGAUAUUAAGUAAAUUGGUCCAUUUAAAAAAAAUCAAAGCAAUUUAAUCUUUGUUAAUUUCGAAAGUGAGUAGCUAAGGACAAUUAAUCACAAUGUCAAUAUUUUCCAUCAAUUGUACAUAUUUUUAUUGGUAUAAUAACAAAUUUAGCUCUCAAAGUUUACACAUUCUGCCAAUUUGGUCUUGAUUUAACAAAUUUAGCCCGCAACAAUUACAUAUUCUAUUAACAUUUACACAUAAUAUAUAAACAUCGAGAGCUUAAUUUGUUAUUAUAUCAAUAAAAAUUAUGUACAAUUUAUAGAAAGCAUUAACACAAUGAUUAAUUGUCCUUAGUUGCUCCCUUUCAAAAUUGAUAAUGAUUAAAUUGCUCUAAUUUUCUGAGAGGAACCAAUUUGUUCAAUAUAGAAAUUGAGAGGGACGAGAAAUGUGUUUUUUUUAUCCAUUUUAGAUACCAACAAGUGUUUGGCGUAGUGGCAAGGCAUAUUACAUUCUGAAGGAGAGAAUGCGUAUUCGUUGGAGAUAACAAUGUUGUGUGGGGUAUUCACGGAUCUCGAACACAGACUGUAAAACAUAUAUAAAGAAUAAAAAGAAUAACAUCUUAAUUUAAAUAAUUAAUAAAUUUUAAUUUGAAAAAAAGUAUUUUGAGAAACAUAGGUUUUAUAAAUAGUAAAAUUGAAUCGAUAAAACAUGUCCAUUAUAUCAGAAUCAUAAAAAUACAACUUAAUUAAUUUGAAUUUAAACUUAACUCAACUCAAUUUGAUUAUAAAAAAUUGAUAAUUUGAAUCCAAAAUGACAUGAUCUUGAAAUGAUUUGAUUUAGUGAUCAAACCCGAAUGGCAAAACUCGAAAUGAUGCAAUCCAAAAACACAAAGCAAAUGAACUAAACUAUGAAAAAAAAAAACCUUACACCGACUCAAAUCCAAAAUAAUUUAAUCCUAAAAUAACCUAAAUUUUAUGUAAUAUAAACUCGAAAUAACCCGAAAAUUUUUAAAUUAAAAUUGACCCGACCCAAAUUCACACCACCUAAAAUCAAUCGUAACCACCUAAUUAAAAAGCAUGAAAUGAAAUGAUGUAAAGAGAAAAUCAGAGAAAACCAAAUAGAAAGUAACAAGCUUUUUUCAGAAUUGAAAGCAAAUUCCGUACAUUCACGACAUGCAUAAAACAACAAUGGUUUAUAGAAUUUGAGUUUUAGUCCUGUACUUUUAAAGUUAAUUUUUCUUAAUUUAAAAAUAUUAGUUUAAUUAUUUAUGUUGGUUGUAGUUUCCGUUAGCUUAAUCAACAUGUUAAAUUACUAAAUUUUGACAGAAAAUACUUACGAGUUUAAUGAUUGUACCGAGAUUUUUAAAUAAAAAAGUCGGAAGACUUAAUUUCUAACCUUUUAAAUAUAGGGACUAAAAGCAUCUUUUAACUUUGAUAUUAUUAUUAUAAGUAGGGAUAAUGUCACCUUUGAUAUCUGUACUUUCAUAAAAUGUCUAGUGGUACAAGUACUUUGAAAAUAUAUAAUGUGGUACUAUCAGUAUGUGUUAUUAUUAUGGUACAUGUACUUUGAAAAUGUUUAAUGUGGUACCUAAACUAUUUAUAUAUGGUUUAUUAUGAUCCUUGGUAAAGACGGACUAUUAUGGUGGCUUAGGGGGCUCUUUGUCCCGCCACCCAUGCAAAAAAAAAAAAAAUCGGAGAAUUUUGUUUUUUCCUUUGAAAUUUUUAGAAAAUUUCAAUUAAGCCCCAAAAAUUUUUUAAAUUUUUCAUUAUACCUUUUAAUUUUUUUUGAAAAUUUUAAUUAAGUGCUCUUAAAAUUUUGAAAAUUCUCAUUAAUCUCACAAAAAAUUUUAAAUUUUUUUAUUAGACCCCCAAUUUUUUUAAAAAAUCUUAUUAAACCCUUAAAUUUUAGUGAAUUCCCCCAAUUUUUGAAAGGGCUUAAAAGUUUGGAAAGGUUAGACCUCUCUUGCAACAAAAUUGAAGGCAAGAUUCCACAGUGGAUGCAAGAGGUGGGGAAUGGCUCUUUGACUUACUUAAAUGUAUCUCACAACUCAUUGACAGAAGUUGAGCACUUUCCAUGGAAUAAUAUUGCAGUUCUUGACUUAAGCUCCAAUUUGAUCCGUGGAAAUCUUCCGAUUCCAGCUUCGACAAUCAAUGUCUUUCUGAUCUCAAAUAAUAGUUUCAAUGGAGAGGUCUCUUCUUUAAUAUGCAAUGCCAGUUCUCUUCAAAUUCUUGAUUUGUCCCACAAUAACUUGAGUGGAACAAUUCCUCAAUGUUUUGGAAAUUUCAGCUACCAGCUUCAAUUCUUGAAUCUGAAGAAGAACAAGUUCUAUGGGACGAUUCCUCCAACAUUUGCAGAGUUUUUCCAAUUGAGUAAUUUCAACUUAAAUGGAAAUCUGUUAGAAGGGCCUUUGACACCAUCCAUCGUUAAUUGUUAUGAGCUGAAAGUGCUAGAUCUUGGUAACAACAAGAUCAAUGAUACAUUUCCUCAUUGGUUGGGAAGUCUUCCACACUACAAGUUCUUGUAUUGAAGUCAAAUCAUAUGCAUGGUUCCUUAUGUGUCAAUAGCUCCAAGUCUAGCCCUUUUUUCUCUAAAAUCCAAAUUUUUGACCUCUCAAGUAAUUAUUUUUCUGGACCCCUACCAGUGAGAUACAUCAACAGCUUCAAGGCUAUCAUAAAUCUAGAGAAGAUUGGGAGUACAGUGUCGUACAUGGGGUUGAAUUAUCCUUGGGGUCCUGGCUUCUAUACCUAUUCCAUUGGAAUAGUUAUGAAAGGACAAGAUAGGGAAUUGGUGAAAAUUUUCACCAUGUGGAUGAUCAUUGAUCUAUCAAACAAUCAGUUUGAAGGGGGUAUUCCAAAGGUUAUUGGGAAGCUUAACUUACUGAAAGGGCUCAACCUUUCUCAUAAUAACCCUAAUGGUGAUAUCCCCACCUCAAUAGGGAAUUUGACAAGUCUUGAAUGGUUGGACCUAUCUUCAAGCAGUUUGUCUGGGACGAUUCCAAAUAGAUUGGUAGAUCUGCCAUUUCUUUCGUCCGUAAAUUUUCUGAAAAUCAACUCCAUGGUCAGAUUCCUCAAGGCAAACAAUUCAAAGGAAAUAAGGGACUAUGUGGAUUUCCGGUCUCAAAAGGUUGCAACAUCAUUGAGCCAGCACCUCCAAAUGUGCUUGGAAAAGAUGGCUCAAAAUCAAACAUUGCUUUUGGUUGGAAAGUGGUGUUGAUAGGUUAUGGAUGCGGAGUAGUGUUCGGAAUGUUCGUGGGAUAUGUUGUUUUCCAAACUGGAAAGCCGAAAUGGUUGGUGAAUUUGGUUGAAGACCAACAUGAGAAUAGGCGAAGAAGAAAGUCAAAGAAAGGCAAUUGCAGCAGUAGACGAAGAAGGAUCUAAUUACUGCAAAUGAUGGUGAAGAAUUAGUGUUGUAUUUUCAUAAUUUCUUAGUCUGUAGACCGUUUUGCCUAUGGUGAAGGGUUGCAUUGGUAUGUGUCUGUCUUUAUUAUUGUACCAAUUCCUCUGUCUUUCAUUGCAUUUCGUACUUUCAGUAAUGGUUUGUUUGAGUGUAACAUUUUGUAUGGUGGUGUUGUUUAUGUCUUCUUUCAUGACUUUCAAUUUAGUCUCGAUAAUCUUUGCUACUGCUCAGUAAAGGAGAAAGGAGAACAAAAUGGCGCAAUGAUCUCUGUUGUAUUUUCAUAAUUUUUUUACAAGUUAGCAGUAAAAGGUUUGGUUAUAUGGAGAAAGUAAUAAUAUAUAGCAGAGUUGAAGGAAUGAUAUAAUGAAUUGAAACAUGGAACAAUGCAGACUGUAAAAGGGUACAUAUAGGUUGCUUUAAUUGCUAAAAUGGAAAGACUGUAAAAUGGAACAAUGCAGAAAUUGGUGUUGUUAUUAUGGAGUUCAAAGGUUAAUAUUCAUGCUUGUAGAUUUGACGCGGAAUGUAGAUGAACUGAAGGCUGUUUUGGCAUUAUGCCAAUUUCCACAUUCAUACAUAUAAAGGAAGCAAGACCAAGUCAAUAUCAUCAACUCUAAUUAUUUCACUUCUUUCUUUAGGGAGUUCAAAUGGUGGCCCGGAAGGAGUGAAAAUGUCACCUAGAAAGAGGGUAUCACAUAUCAAAGCACGAAAGUCGUCAUAAAAAUUUUAAAAACAAGGAAGAUUGAGCCAUCAACAGUGUUAUUGUGAAACCGAUCAUAAGGUAUCGCAAUGCCCAAAACUCCCAAGGAUCCCCACGACUGUUGUGAAUUUCGCGAUACCAAACUUGGUAUCGCAAUAUCAUUGAUGAGAGGAGACAAAAUAUAACAGUAGGGUAAUCCUUUUCCAACAUGUCCCCUAACCAAAAUUAGAUGAUCAUGGACAAUUUGGUCACUAUUUUUGGAUCUGUAAUUUGCUAGAAAGGGCAAAAAAUUGGCUGAACAAAAGGCAACACUUAACAUUUCAUGUUUUUCAAUUUUUCUCUUUAUUUUUAGAGUUUUAGUUUUCUUCUCCAUAACUCUAGGGUUUAAUUCAUGUUUUCUUUGAGUUUUUCUUGGUUCCAAUAAUAGUAGUUAGUUAAGUUAAUUAUCACUGUAGCUAGGAUUUAUUGGCUCGUUUAGUACCUUUAACUCUUUGUAUUUUCAGCUUAAUCCUUGGUUUUAAUAUAAAUAAAUUCCCUUCAUCAUUAAAAAUCUAUUUUUAGGGUUUUUUUUUACAUUUCCUUUGCUACCAUUGUAAUUGUUUUCAAGCUUUUCUCAUUUUUCUCAUGUUUUCUAGUUAUGCCUAUUUUGUAUGAUUGUUGUAUUUUUGUUUGUUUAAAUAUGAUUAUGGGUAACUAAAUCUGAAGUGAAAUUUGGCAUUAUGAAAAUGUCCAACAUUGCUUGUGGAUUAAUUCAUUAAUUCAUGUCUAUGUUUUAUUUAUUCAAAUGAUUAAUAGCUAAUUUGAUCCUUAAAUUAUAGUUCAAAAAGUAUUUUUAUAUUUUCAAAUUUUCAUAAAUAUAAUUGUAGCAAAAUUUAAAAAUCUGAAAAUAAAUAAAAAUUUUAUAUAAAAAAAUCAAUUGGUGCAAGAAAAAAAAAUUUCCAACUACUUUUUCCACAUCCAAUCUCAUAAAUAAUCAGUCUUUGAACUUUCACAAAAAAAUAUUAAAUACCCAUUUACUUUAAUUCUGCUCGUUUUUCAUUUGCUUUAUUGAUGUAUGCUCUCUUCAUAUUAUCUUUCUUUGCCUUUUUUUUUCCUCCUUUUUCAUGUAGAUCUGCGUCGACUCUACUAUUCUUGGAUCAUUAUAAAUAUAAUAUAUUUUUUUAUUUAUAGCUGAAAGUAAAACAUUGAGUUGAAAUUUGGCAAAAAAAAUUGUGGGUUUGGAGAAGAAGAAGAGCACUUCAUAUUUAAAUUUAAAAAAUCUAAAAUUCCAAAAUCGAAAGUUAGUCAAAACCCUAAACAAUCUAAUAAUUGGGGUUGUAGAAAAGAAAUAUGGGUUUAGAAAUAAAUAAAACAAAAUAAAUUUGCAAAACAAUUUCUAGGCAAAACAGCAUUAAAUUAAGGACUAAAAUAUUUUUUUUUAUAAAGCUUAGAGUGAAAUGAGUUUUUGGGAAACUGAAAAAAAAGUGAAAUGGGAAUGUUUGUACUAAUACACAUGGCAUUAUUGGACAGUAGACAAUAACUAAAAUGUUGCGUUAAUUUGUUUAUUGGACAUUCUUCUGCAAUGCUUAGAAAAUUUUAAUAUAUGUUUUAUUUUUAAAAUUUUUAAAAUUUAUGCUUCUUUUUCUUCUUCAGGAUCUCACUCCUGCUCUUCAUUAAUCCAGUUCAAGAACUCUUUUUCCAUAAUAGAGGAUGCUUCUUCUUAUUGCAAUGAUUUUGCUGGCCUUAAAUCUUAUCCCAAGACAAAUUCAUGGAAGGAGGGUACAGAUUGCUGCUCAUGGGAUGGGGUCACUUGUGACCACCUAAAUGCUCAUGUUAUUGCUCUUGACUUGAGCUGCAGUUGGCUAUAUGGCAACUUCCCUUAGCAGCCAAAAAAACCCAAUUGAGAACUGGGUUCCAAAUCAGACAAGGCAAAAGCCAAAUCAUCUGGGAUUGGUGGAGAGUGAUGUGUCAGAAGAAGAAGAAGAGGAAGAAGGGGUUUGAGAUGUGACAACUAUUGCACUGCAUUGCAGUCUGCAAUUGAGAACUGGGGCCUCCUGCUUAUUUAUAUUAACUAUCCACUACUCGUUAUUGUCGUGUCGUGUGAACUUAUGAGGAAACAUAGUGCUUUCAUUCUGUGCUUCGUACUUUUUUACUACCAAGGAGGUGCAGUUAAAUUGUACUAUUAGCAGGAUUAGAGGUGGUUUAUAGGGAGUGUGUUCUUUUAGUGGGUAUGAACUCUCCCUUUCAUAUUAAUUGGGUUUUAUUAUUUUGGCCCAAAGGUGGGGAUUGUAGUGUAUGGAUAUUAUUAUUAUUAUUCACAGUGGCAACGCCCACCUCGUCUACCAAACGACAAAUAUAACCUUUGAAAUUGACCAAACUUUGUUCGGUCAUAACAUUGACCAUUGACGACAAGAAAAGUUUGUUUUCCAUUAUAUCUUAACCUUUGAAGCAUUGUAUGUGGCCACCCACGUAGUCAACUAUUUAUGUUAUGUCACGACAAAAACAGCAUCCUCCUUUGUCUUUGAAAUUCGACAUUAAUAAUGGAGUUCUUUUUGCACACAUGCAUUCUAUUUAUUAUUUUGAAUACAAUUCUAAUCUAGAUUUUUGGCUUUACAUUUUUUUUAUUUAAUCAUCAAGUUGUCCAUGUUCUUUAAUUUUUUUUAAAAAAACUAAGUUGCAUUUCCUUUUUUUUAAAAUUAACGAUAUAUUGAAAUCAUUAUUGAAAUUAUAAUCAAAAUUAAUACAUGUUCUUUUUAUUAGCUUAAGGGCAUAAAAACCCUUCAAAAUUUUCAAAAAUAAAAAUAAAAAUUUAAGUCCCUCUUUUUUUUUUACACUUAAUUGAGCAUUUAAACUUUUAAAAUGUAUCAAAAAUAUCUUUACACUUCUUAAAAAAAGCAAUUAAAUCCCUAUUUUUUUCUGCUCAAUUGGGUACUUGAACUUUCAUAAUGCAUAAAAAAGGAUCACAUCCUUUAGUUCCUUAUUUUACAUAUUUCAUUGCGGAUGAGGUUGUCUUAAAAGAUCUUUCAUACCUCAUUAUAUAUGUCUGUUGCAAAGAACUUUUGGUUGGUUAUCUCAAGCUUACAUUUUUGCCACAUGUUUGCUUUGAUGCGUGUUGCCCGGAGUCUUCUCCAGAAUGAACACUUACUCAUAGAACCUUAUGUGAGUUUAUUAUUUCAAUGAUUUAGAAGUACACGAACUAAUGCAAAUAUGCUAGUGGUUUAUUUUCCACCUAUCUGAUUUUUUAAAAUGUUCUUCAGUUACACCAGUUGAUGCCUUCUAUUAUUACCUGCCUCGUUGCAAAAAGGUUAGGAAAUAAAUUCACCGACAAUCAUUGGGAACUUAGAAACUUCGCAGCAAAGCUAGUGGCAUCAAUAUGCAAAAGGUGAAGAUUUCUUUUCUUUUGGACUUAUACAUGCAUUUUCGUUUUUAUGAAUUUCAGAUGUCUGAUUUUUUAGUUAUAAACUUGGAUCUAUUCUUCAAAUCAAGUGUAUAUCAUUUUCAUGCUAUUUCACACAUGCAAAACAAAUGGUGCGAGCAUGCAUGUUAUAUGCAGAAUACAUAGAUUAAUUACGUGUGGAUCAUUAAGCAUGCCUAUGUUUGACCAAUGUGUGUGGCUACUUUUUUUUUUUACAUGAUCCAAUUUUCGAUAUGCUUUGCUUUUAGGUUGAAUGCGGAAAAGAUUAGAACUUAAUUUCCAGCAUAAUGAUUUGUCUUGGAUAUGCAGAUUUUUACAUGCAUUUCUUACAAGUCAAUAUUUAUAGAUUUGGGCAUGUUUAUCACAAUCUUCAGCCACGUGUGACAAGGACACUGCUCCAUGCUUUUUUGGACCCAACGAAAACAUUUCCCCAGCAUUACGGAGCAAUUCAAGGGUUAGCAGCCCUUGGACCCAGCGUGGUAUAAUUCUAAUCUCAAAUAUUUACUAGCAACACAAUAAGAUACUUGUUUGUGGGAUCAAUUGGUCAAAGAUAUUGCAAUGAUAGCCAUCUUUUUGACAGAAGUUGAGCACUUUCCGUGGAAUAAUAUUGCAGUUCUGGACUUAAGCUCCAAUUUGAUCCGUGGAAAUCUUCCGAUUCCAGCUUCGACAAUCAAUGUCUUUCUGAUCUCAAAUAAUAGUUUCAAUGGAGAGGUCUCUUCUUUAAUAUGCAAUGCCAGUUCUCUUCAAAUUCUUGAUUUAUCCUACAAUAACUUGAGUGGAACAAUUCCGCAAUGUUUUGGAAAUUUGAGCGACAGCCUUGAAUUCUUGAAUCUGAAGAAGAACAUGUUUUAUGGGACGAUUCCUCCAACAUUUGCAGAGGGAUGCCAGUUGACUAAUUUCAACUUAAAUGGAAAUCUGUUAGAAGGGCCUUUGACACCAUCCAUCCUUAAUUGUAAUGAUCUGGAAGUGCUAGAUCUUGGUAACAACAAGAUCAAUGAUACAUUUCCUCAUUGGUUGGGAAGUCUUCCAAAGCUACAAGUUCUUGUAUUGAAGUCAAAUCAUAUGCAUGGUUCCUUGCGUGUCAAUAGCUCCAAGUCUAGCCCUUUUUUCUCUAAAAUCCAAAUUUUUAAUCUCUCAAGUAAUUAUUUUUCUGGACCCCUACCUGUGAGAUACAUCAACAGCUUCAAGGCUAUCAUAAAUCUAGAGAAGAUUCGUAGUACAGUGUCGUACAUGGGGGUGAAUAAUCGGAAUGGUAGUGGCUUCUAUACCUAUUCCAUUGGAAUUGUUAUGAAAGGACAAUAUAUGGAAUUGGUGAAAAUUUUCACCAUGUGGAUGAUCAUUGAUCUAUCAAACAAUCAGUUUGAAGGGGGUAUUCCAGAGGAUUUUGGGAAGCUUAACUUACUGAAAGGGCUCAACCUUUCUCAUAAUAACCUUAAUGGUGGUAUCCCUACCUCAAUAGGGAAUUUGACAAGUCUUGAAUGGUUGGACCUAUCUUCAAACAGGUUGUCUGGGACGAUUCCAAAGAGAUUGGCAGAUCUGCCAUUUCUUUCGUCCUUCAAUGUUUCUGAUAAUCAGCUCCAUGGUCAGAUACCUCAAGGCAAACAGUUCAACACAUUUGGAAAUGAUUCAUAUGAAGGAAACAAGGGAUUAUGUGGAUUUCCGGUCUCGAAAGGUUGCAACAUCAUUGAGCCAGCACCUCCAAAUGUGCUUGAGAAAGAUGGCUCAAAAUCAAACAUUACUUUUGGUUGGAAAGUGGUGUUGAUAGGUUAUGGAUGCGGAGUGGUGUUGGGAACGUCCGUGGGAUAUGUUGUUUUCCAAACUGGUAAGCCGAAAUGGUUGGUGAAUUUUGUUGAAAUCCAACAUGAGAAGAAGCGAAGACGAAAGUCAAAGGAUGGCAGCCGCAGCAAUGGACGAAGAAGGAUCUAGUUAGUGGAAAUGAUGUUCAAGUGUUGAUGUUGUAUCUUCAUAAUUUCUUGUUUUGAAGUCUUUCAAUUUUUUUCCUAAGGUGAAAGGAUGCAUUGCCAUGCAUCUGUCUUUAUUUUUGUAACAAUCCAUCUAUAUUUCACUGCAUUACGUAGUAUUUGUAAGGGUUUGUUUUAAAUGUAACAUUUUGUAUGGUUCAACUAUUUAUGUCUUCUUUCAUGACUUUCAUUUUUGAGUCUCAAUAAUCUCUGCAUUCAAAAUUUUGUCAUCUUUUUCUCGAGUUAAACACAGUCAAUACUAUAAAAAUUUCUUCUGUGUGGAAAAUAAUUUGGCAUUCUGCAAAUUUCCACAAUGCUUAUGGAUUUCCUUUGGUUGACAGCUACACAUAUAAAGGAAAGAAACAAGACCAUGUCAAAAUUUCCAAAAAUUAGUCAUUCAUUUUUUAAAAUUGUAAAUUCUCAAAUAGUGCAAAUUAGUCCUAAAACUCAAGUUUUGAAAUCUUUACAAUUUAACCCCUUAUAGUUUCAAACUUUACUAUUUUAUGCUCAACUUUCUAAAUCUUCAUAUUUCAUGAUCAUAUAAUUCACUACAUCAAUAUUUCAGAUUUCACUACUCAAACCCUUACUUCAUUUUGGUCCUUACUUCAAUUUUAUCAAAUUACAUCAUUUUUCAAUUUGAAUGCAUUGAUGUGAAAUUGAGGGACCACUAAACAAUGUUGAUGCGAGUUUAGGCAAAAUUGGUGGAUCCCAUCUCCUUAGUAAUUUCUUUGUGGAAGUACCUACUUUCACAAUGCAAACUUGGAUAGUUUGUGGUGGACGAUGAUGAAUCAUUUCACAAUCAAACACACCAUUUUUAAACACAAAAUUAACGAUAUAUUGAAAUCAUUAUUGAAAUUAUAAUCAAAAUUAAUACAUGUUCUUUUUAUUAGCUUAAGGGCGUAAAAACCCUUCAAAAUUUUCAAAAAAUAAAAUAAAAUUUAAGUCCCUCUUUUUUUACACUCAAUUAAGCACUUAAAAACUUUUAAAAUGUAUCAAAAAUAUCUUUACACUUCUUCAAAAAAAGCAAUUAAACUCCUAUUUUAUUUCGCUCAAUUGGGUACUUGAACUUUCAUAAUGCAUCAAAAAGGCCUUAAAUUUUUUUCAAAGAAACAAUUAAGCCUCUAUUUUUUUCCCACUUAAUUGGGUACUUGAACUUUCAUAAUACAUCAAAAAGGCCUUAAAUUUUUUUCAAAAAAGCAAUUAAGCCCCUACUCUUAUUAAAAAUUAGAAAAAAAUCAUAAAAAUAAAAAAAAUUAGAAAAAAAUUAUUAAAUUUUAAUAAAAUUUAAAAACUUAUUAAAAAUUAGAAUUUUUUUAAGAAAAAUCGUCAAAAAAUAAAAAAUUAUAAAAUUUUAUAAAAAUCAUAAAAAAAUAUAAAAUCCAUCAAAAAGUCCUUUUAACAAUUAACUUUAACUAUUGAUCGUUAAAGUUAACGACCUCUAGUUUUUUCAAUUAAAGUCAUUAUGUGUCGCAACUCAGCAUGACAUGUAGCGAAAACAGAUAAAAAAGUAAAAAUCAAUAAAAGUUAUAGAAAAAUUAUAAAAUAUUUCUUUUGGUACAAUAAUUUUUAUAAAAAUUUUUUUACAAAAUUUAUAAUUCUUUACAUUUUGUAUAAUUUUCUUAUAACUUUAUAAAAUUUUAUAAUUUUUUAUAUUUCUAUAUAUUUUAUAAUUUUAUAAAAUUUUUAUAAAAUUUUACAAUUUUACAAUUUUUAAUAUUUUAUUUUUUAUUAUAAUUUAAUAAUAUUAUUGAUUUUAUUGAUUUUAAUUUUUUUUCUAAUUUUUAAUAAAAGUAGGGGCUUAAUUUAUUUUUUAAAAGUUUGAGGGUGUUUUUGAUGCAUUUUGAAAGUUCAAGUACCCAAUUGAGUGCAAAAAAGAAAGUAGGGGCUUAAUUGCUUUUUUUGAAAAAUGUUUGAGGGCCUUUUUGGUUUAUUUUGAACGUUCAAGUACCCAAAUGAGUGCAUAAAAAAAACAGGGGUUUAGUUGCUAUUUUUGAAAAAGUUUGAGGGAUUUUUGCACCCUUAAACCUCUUUUCUUUUUCUAAAUUUAAUUUAGAACCAACUUUGUGUAAAGACUUGGGAAAUUUAAUUAGCAAAAAUUCUUUCCAUGUAAAAAUUUCCCCUAUUUCUUGUUUGAAUUUAAAGCAAUACAAUAUUUUUCUAGCAAGUAACAGAAAAUGACUGUCAAUUCAUUCUAAGCAAUACAAAAUCUCCAGUCUGGUGGAAAAUUUGUUUCUUAGAUACUAUUAUUCAACUUUUAAGGCAUAAGUUUGAAUAUAGCUAGGGACUAAAAUUUUAAAGUGUUGUUUACUACACACUUAGGGACCAUAUAUGUAUAUAUAUAUAUUCCAGUCUGGGUCUUUGUCGUGUUUUGUUGGUUGGCUAUGGCCUUGUUGUUGUUUCCACUGCCUGUGGUCUUUGUUUCUAAGUCAUAUGUGGCCUUAGUUGCUAAUUUAAAGGGAGUGAAUAGAGCACCAUUUUCUUCUUCUGCGUGGAAAAUAAGUUGGCAUUAUGCCAAUUUCCACAUUCAUACAUAUAAAGGAAGCAAGACCAAGUCAAUAUACUUUCUAAUCUCAUCACUUCUUCUUUCUUUAGGGAGUUCAAGUGAAAUACAAAUUUUUCCACAUCCAAUCUCAUAAAUAAUCCAUCUUUGAACUUUCACAAAAAAAUAAUAAAUACCCAUUCACUUUAAUUCUACUAUUCUUAAAACAUUAAAGUUUUGUGGAAAAUAUGCUUCUUGGAUAAAAUUAUUCAACACACAUGCCUUGAAUUUUAUGGAAUAAAAUAAAUGAAUAUAGGCCACACAUGCUUUGAAUUUUUAAGUAGUCCACAAUUUUGUUCGUUUGUGUGCAAAAUUCUACAUUGCUUGACAGCCAUACAUACUAAGUAAAUAGACACCCACAUUGUUUACGUAUUAUGAGGAAGAAGACUAAGUCAAUCUACUUUGUAAUCUCAUCAAUUUUAAUUUUCUUAGUUAUUUAGGGAGUGUUGACAUCAUUUUUGAUGAAAACGGGGUCGACUUGGGUUUUGGGAAAAUGAAAACAAAAACGGGAGUCGCCACCAAUCCCUUUUUUAUGAGGUGUGAUUGGAUUACCUCGAAAAAUGGUUGUUUUUAAUAAACGGUUUGAUUUUAUUAAAACAACGGUUUUGGUCCACGAAAUUUAGAAAACGGGUUCGGGAGUCGGUUACGCACGAGGAAGGAUUAGCACCCUCGAUACGCCCAAAAUUGGUACCUAGUUGAUUACUUAAUGUCUUAAUGUCGAAAAUUGAGAAUUUAAAAGAAUUUUUAAAAAAAUACGAUCCUUGUAUUAAAAUGUUAAGAAAAGGAGGAUAUUUCACGUUAUUCGAGAAAAAGAAUCAUAUUCAGUAAGUUAGAAUACAAUAUCUCAAAUUCUCGAUACGCGAAUGAAAAAGUUUAUUUAAGAAAUUUUAGUCAUCUCGAAUUUAAAAAUGAGAUCAUAACCAGUAAGUUAGGAUGCGACCCCUUUUUUAAAAAUUCGAGAUCAUUUAAAACUUGAUUUUGAAAAGAUUCGUGUAUUUAGAUUCAUCGAGAAAAUCGAAACCCAGUAAGUUAGGGCACGAUUUUCUCGAAUCCAAACACGAAAUGCCAUUUAAAAAAAUUGUUACAUCAAGUAAGAUAAAACACAAAAUCAUAGUGAAAGCAAAUUACAUUUUUAUGUAUGGUAACUAAUAAAAGGUCAACAAAAUAAAAAAUAAACAAACCAGAAUAAAGACAUUUAAGCAAAUAAUAACGAACAUGUAGAUAAAUAAAUAAAUCAACAUGAAAUGAUAAUUAUAAUAAUGAAUAAAAUGGUGAUAUAUAUACGUAUGUAUGUUAGAAACAAAUUAUACGAGGUAAAAACAUAAAGUUAAAUACAAAAAAAGAAGUAUAUAUGAUUAUAAAAUACAUGUAUAUACAUAAAUAAGGAAAUAGAAAUGCUCAUAAAAUAAAAAAUAAAAAUAUUCGUAUGCACGUGUAUUAUAUUGUAAUUGCGUAGGUAUAAAUAUUAUGUAGUAUAUGUAUAUAAAUAUAUAGAUAUUAAAUAAAUAAAAAGCAGGGUAGAUAUAAAAAAAUAUUGAAUAUAUAUAAUAUAAUAUUAUUAUUAGAUAUAUAUUAAAGUUUAUAAAUAUAUAGAUUCGCAAUAAUUUUAGACGUAUAUAUUAUAGUAUAUAAAAAUAAUAAUAUAAUAAUAAAUAAAUAAAUGAGCAAAAGAAAAAACAUGCUUAAAAGGGACUUAAAUCGAAAUAAAACAAAGUUUCUGGGCUAAUUUAAGAAUAAAAAAAAAGGCGGAGGGACCUAAUUGCAAGCAGGCGUAAAAAGGAGGGACCGAAAGGGUAAUUAAACCCCCAAUGUCAGAACGACGCCGUUCCAGGAAGGAGGGCGCAGAUGAUCGAAGGACCAAAUCGAAAAACAAACUAAAUUAAUAAGCCAAUUUGCAAAAAAUUAAAAAGGAUUAAAUUUAAAAUAAUUAAAACUGCGGAGGGGCUAAACGAGCAAUUAGCCCCUUCGCAAGAAAACACGCGGAUCCUUCGGGUCGGAGCGGGUCGGGUCGCGGGUCCAAAGCGAAACGACGUCGUUUUGGGCGUUAUGGAGCUAGGCCAAAACGACGUCGUUUCACACGCCUAUAUAUUCAAAAAAAAUUUUCAAAAAAUUUCAUUCUUCUCCCCUUUUCAAAAAAAAACCGAAAUGCUCUCUCUCCCUCCCCUUUUCUCUCUGAACGCCGGCCAAAGAUCCGGCCGAGAACCACCGUACCGGCCGCCGGUCGCCGGCGCCGGCGCCGCCGUAAGCGGCGGUCGGAAGUCGAAAAGUUAGCCUUUUAAAAUCACGUUUCGAAAACCCUUCCAAAAAUCGAGUCCUUAAAGCCCUAAGGCCGAGAGAGGGAAUCUCAAAAAAUGAAACGCCUUCCUCGUCCGUUCUCAACGACUCGGACUCCGGCGACGCUACAACCGCGACGAUUCAGGUAAGUUUUGUUUAUUAAUCCUUAAGCUUAUAUUAAACAUAAAAGAAAAGGAAAGCAAAACCGAAUGGAAUCGAAAAAAGCUAAAAAAUUUCACCUUUCAACUGAUUUUUUUCUUUAUUUCUUUGAUCUUUUUUUUUUUUUUAAAAAAGAGUCCUCAUUACAUGUAUUUGUUUCGGCUUUUAUAGCCAAUUCCUAGUCUAUGCUUCUGUCUUGCUUGCUUUGAUUUAUUUACAGGGAUGGAGGUGACGGUGGCAGUUGGCGGUGGUUGCUGGCAGAGCAGGUGGGCAGAAUGACCGAAGGUCAGAAGACCCUAGGAGCGGCGCCUAGGGCUCCUCUGUUUUCUGCUAGGUCUUGUUUUGGGUUUUGGGCUGAGGGUAGGCUUAUUGGGUUAUUGGGCUAAGGGUUGUAAUUUGGACUUUUAUUUUUGUGUUUAAUUGGGCCUCGGGCAAAAUGGCCUGUAACAGGGAGUUCAAAUGAAAUACAAAAUUGAAGGCAAUAUUCCACAGUGGAUGCAAGAGGUCGGGAAUGGCUCUUUGACUUACUUAAAUAUAUCUCACAACUCUUUGACAGAAGUUGAGCACUUUCCGUGGAAGAAUAUUGAAGUUCUUGACUUAAGCUCCAAUUUGAUCCGUGGAAAUCUUCCGAUUCCUGCUUCGACGAUCAAUGUCUUUCUGAUCUCAAAUAAUAGUUUCAAUGGAGAAGUCUCUUCUUUAAUAUGCAAUGUCACUUUUCUUCAAAUUCUUGAUUUGUCCCACAAUAACUUGAGUGGAACAAUUCCGAAAUGUUUUGGAAAUUUGAGCAACAGCCUUGAAUUCUUGAAUCUAAAGAAGAACAAGUUUUAUGGGACGAUUCGUCCAACAUUUGCUAAGUGAUGCCAAUUGAGUAAUUUCAACUUAAAUGGAAAUUUGUUAGAAGGGCCAUUGACACCAUCCAGCCUUAAUUGUAGAGGUCUGGAAGGGCUAGAUCUUGGAAACAACAAGAUCAAUGAUACAUUUCCUCAUUGGUUGGGAAGUCUUCCACAGCAACAAGUUCUUGUAUUGAAGUCAAAUCAUAUGCAUGGUUCCUUAUAUGUCAAUAGCUCCAUGCCUAGCCCUUUUUUCUCUAAAAUCCAAAUUUCUGACCUCUCAAGUAAUUAUUUUUCUGGACCCCUACCAGUGAGAUACAUCAACAGCUUCAAGGCUAUCAUAAAUGUUGGUGUUAGAACAGAAACAAACAAGCUUGACUUUAGUCUUGUGCAGCAAGUCUCGAUGCUUGCUGAGCAAACAAUCGAGUUUGAGAAUAAAAUGAGGAAGAAAAGUAAUGAAAAUUGAGAGAACUUGAUGAACAAAUUUGAUUUCAUUCAUAAGUAAACAGCGGCAUGAUACCAAUACAUAAACCAAGCUCUAAGCUUGUCAAAAUCAAUAAGCAUUCACCUAAUUGUUACCUAACACCACUAAGCAUUGAAACUUGAAGUCAUUAACUUGUGCAUACAAGCAAAGCUGAAUUAACAGCUCAUACAUCUGCAAAUUACAUCAAUCAUCUACCAAACAUAGUUCUAAAUGAACUAAAUUACAUUUCAUUAACUAGAAAUUACAAAAUGAACAAAACUAGAUCAAUUGAGCUUGCAGCAGUAGCUUCUGCCUUGCUCGAUCUUCAUGGUCUGCAUGUUGGUUGGUGUGGCAGCAUGCUGGCCAACUUCAUCAAUAAAUCUAGAGCAGAUUGGGAGUACAAUGUCGUACAUGGGGGUGUAUGAUCGGAAUAGUAGUGGCUUCUAUACCUGUUCCAUUGGAAUUGUUAUGAAAGGACAAGAUAUGGAAUUGGUGAAAAUUUUCACCAUGUGGAUGAUCAUUGAUCUAUCAAACAAUCAGUUUGAAGGGGGUAUUCCAAAGGUUAUUGGGAAGCUUAACUUACUGAAAGGGCUCAACCUUUCUCAUAAUAACCUUAAUGGUGGUAUCCCCACCUCAAUAGGGAAUUUGACAAGUCUUGAAUGGUUGGACCUAUCUUCAAACAGGUUGUCUGGGACGAUUCCGAAUAGAUUGGCAGAUCUGCCAUUUCUUUCGUCCUUCAAUGUUUCUGAAAAUCAACUCCAUGGUCAGAUUCCUCAAGGGAAACAAUUCAACACAUUUGGAAAUGAUUCAUAUGAAGGGAAGAAGGGACUAUGCGGGUUUCUGGUCUCGAAAGGUUGCAACAUCAUUGAGCCAGCACCUCUAAAUGUGCUUGAAAAAGAUGGCUCAAAAUCAAACAUUACUUUUGGUUGGAAAGUGGUGUUGAUAGGUUAUGGAUGUGGAGUAGUGUUUGGAAUGGUCGUGGGAUAUGUUGUUUUCCAAACUGGUAAGCCGAAAUGGUUGGUGAAUUUGGUUGAAAUCCAACAUGAGAAGAAGCGAAGAAGAAAGUCAAAGGAUGGCAGUCGCAGCAAUGGACGAAGAAGGAUCUAGUUAGUGGAAAUGAUGUUCAAGUGUUGAUGUUGUAUCUUUAUAAUUUCUUGUUUUGAAGUCUUUCAAUUUUUUUCCUAUGGUGAAAGGUUGCAUUGGCAUGCAUCUGUCUUGAUUAUUGUAACAAUUCAGCUAUAUUUCACUGCAUUACGUACUAUUUAUAAGGGUUUGUUUUAAAUGUAACAUUUUGUAUGGUUUAACUAUUUAUGUCUUUUUUCAUGACUUUCAUUUUGGAGUCUGAAUAAUCUCUGCAUUCAAGAUUUUGUCAGCUUAUUAAUUGGUGGAUCAAUAAUCUUCAUGCUCAUCUCAUCAUCUUUUUCUUGAGUUAAACACAGUCAAUACUAUAACAAUUUCUUCUGUGUGGAAAAUAAUUUAGCAUUCUGCAAAUUUCCAUAAUGCUUGUGGAUUACCUUUGGUUGACAACUAUACAUAUAAAGGAAGGAAACAAGACUAUGUCAAAAUUUCCAAACAUUAGUCAUUCAUUUUUGAACAGUUAAACUUUCGUAUUCUAUUUUUCAAAAUUGUAAAUCCUCGAAUAAUGUAAAUUAGUCCUAAAACUCAAGUUUUGAAAUCUUUACAAUUUAACCCCUUAUAGUUUUGUUGGUUGGCAAUGGCCUUGUUGUUGUUUCCACUGUCUGUGGUCUUUGUUUCUAAGUUAUAUGUGGCCUUGUUUGCUAGAUCUUAGUUGCUAACUUAAAGGGAGUGAAUAGAGCACCAUUUUCUUCUUCUGCGUGGAAAAUAAAUUGGCAUUAUGCCAAAUUCCACAUUCAUACAUAUAAAGGAAGCAAGGCCAAGUCAAUAUAUUUUGUAAUCUCAUCAAUUCUUCUUCAUUCUUUGGGGAGUUCAAGUGAAAUACAAAUUUUUCCACAUCCAAUCUCAUAAAUAAUCCUUCUUUGAACUUUCACAAAAAAAUAAUAAAUACCCAUUCACUUUAAUUCUAGUAUUCUUAAAUCAUUAAAGUUUUGUGGAAAAUAUGCUUCUUGGAUAAAAUUAUUCAACACACAUGCCUUGAAUUUUAUGCAAUAAAAUAAAUGAAUAUAGGCCACACAUGCUUUGAAUUUUUAAGUAGUCCACAAUUUUGUUCGUUUGUGUGCAAAAUUCUACAUUGCUUGACAGCCAUACAUACUAAGUAAAUAGACACCCACAUUGUUUACGUAUUAUGAGGAAGAAGACCAAGUCAAUCUACUUUGUAAUCUCAUCAAUCUUAAUUUUCUCAGUUAUUUAGGGAGUUCAAAUGAAAUACAAAAUUUUGGAAAAAAAAUGUAUCCAAUUUUGUGAAUGAAAAAUAUAUGGUAAAAAGGGUUUGUUAUGGAUACUUCGGCCCCUGGUAUCAAUACUCAGGGUAAGUUUAUCGAUAGGUUAUGGAUGCGGGGUAGUGUUUGGAAUGGCCAUGGGAUGUGUUGUUUUCCAAACCGGUAAGGCGAAAAGGUUGGUGAAUUUGGUUGAAGACCAACAUGAGAAGAGGCGAAGAAGAAAGCCAAAAUAUAGCACUCGCAUCAAUGGAUGAAGAAGGAUCUAGUUGGUGCGAAUGAAGUUAAAGCAUUUCUGCUGUGUCUUCAUAAUUUCUUGUUUAGUACUCUGUCAGAAAAUUUUUCCUAUGGUGAAAAGUUGCAUUGCUAUGUGUCUGUUUUUAUGAUUGUACCAAUUCCUCUGUAUUUCAUUGCAUUUCGUACUGUUUGUAAGGGUUUAGUUCGAGUGGAACAUCUUGUAUGGUGCAACUAUGUAUGUCUUCUUUCUUGAAUUUCAAUUUUAGUAAACAUUAUACUGCUCACCAUAAAAAAAAUACAUGUAGAAUUACAAAAGAUUCAAUUAUUCAAGCUGUUUGAGUUGCAUUUAUAAACACGUGACGAUGAGAAUUCAUGAACAUAAGGUAUGGUUUGAGCCCUUUUGCCAUAUGCAUUUAUGUUGCAGAUGUUCAAACAUGGAAUAAUUCAACCUGCCAUAAGCAAGUGUGAAGUCAAUAGACAAUUGAUAGUCUUAGUCUUUGUCUUUUUUUGUCUGAGUUAAAGUGUAGUCAAUAGACAAUUGAUAGUCUUAGCCCUUUUUGUGGAGUUAAAUUUAUAGUCAAUAGACAAUUGGGACCAAACUUGACCUGUUAUAAGGAAGAAGACUUUGUAAUCUCACCAAUGUUAAUUAUUUUACUUCUUUGGUAAAAAAAAGUAAUUAAUUUUAUGAAUGAAAAAUAUACGGUAAAGAGGAAGUAGUUGUUGAUCACUAAUAACAUGAUGAUUGUGGAAAUACAAAAAAUCCCAUAUAUGUGUUGAAUUCUGCAUAAUGUAAAUGUCCCGCAUUGCAUGUGAAUUCUGCAAUAGACCAAACUUUAUGUGUUAUAGUCCUUUAAACUGAGUUAAUGAAAAGUAACCAUUCUUAUCAAAAUUAGUUAUACUCUUAAUUUAUAACAAAGAAAGGAGUAAUUUGAGUUUAACUCAAAGGUUAAUAUGUCAUCAAUGGGCGAUGGCGUGGUGCUACCAUGUCAGCCAUUAUUUUCUUCUUUGAGUUAAGGUGAUUUCACCAAUUUAAGUUUACUUUUUUACUUCAAUUUAGGUUUAUGCUUAUUACCUUCGAAGAUUCUAAGUGGGUGCCACAACCAAAGGGUGAGUAAAAAGGGUUAAAAAUAAUUUUUUUAAAAAUAUUUUUAUUUUUAUUAAAAAUUUAGAAUUAGAAUUAGAUAAAUUUUGUAAAUGUUAAGGGCUAACUUUAUUAAUUUUUUUUUCAUAAUUCGAACUAAAAUGACAAAUUUUGUAAAAAGCGCUAAAUUAGUUGAAUUUUUUAUAUUUAGGAUUAAAUUGAUAGAAUGUGUAAAUAUUAGAGGUUAAAAUUGUUAUUAGAUCAAUAAAAAACCCAUAUCAGCUUUCCGUCACUCAUCUAUCUACAACUAAAGGGAGAGCGAUUAAAAAAUUAGAAUGUUUGGAUCAUUUUUCUAAUUAAAGUCAUAGUGUAGGAGGCAAUUAAAUGCAUGCGCCACUCACGGUGGACGGUUUUGACAGCUGAUGACGUUGACAGUGCUCUUAAUCUGAGAAACGUGGAGGUACAUUUUCAAGUUUCAAAAAUUUUCUGUUUAUUGUAUUUUUUUAUUAUUCUUUUUCCUUUUUAGUUGAAAAUAGUGCUAAUUAAUGUUAUUUGUUUGACUAAUGUGAUAAUUUCUACUUCAUGUGUAUUAAUCCAUAAAUUUUAACAAGAGUGGAAUUUUGAGAACUUAGUUUUGGAAGUUUGAAUCUUAAGUUUAACCUGCUGCUUUAGAUUUUGCAUUUUGGUUAACUGGCUUGUGUUAUGUGUUUCUCUGGCAUCAGCCGAUAUGUGGAUUUGCCCCUCGUGAUGCACUACGAUUCAAGAAAGCUGCUGGGCAUAAGGAUUUGUUCUACAUUGAUGACAAAGAUGUGGAGUUUAAAGAAGUAGGAACUUAUCAACAAUAUUCGAGAUUCUGUUAUAUGUUGCCUUAUGUAUGUAGGUUCUUGAGUCACCUUUGCCAAGAGCACCACGUGAAUUUAUAUAAGUAUACACAUUUUUAUGAAAUACAAGAUCUUGCUAAAAGAAAAAGCAUAUAAAAGUAUAAACGUUUUUAUGAAAUACAAGAUUUUGCUAAAAGAAAAAGCAUCCAAUUUUAAGAAUGAAAAAUAUAUGGUAAAAGCAUCCAUAACUUUUCAAUGUAAAAGACAAAAAAGACUGUAACACCAAUGUUGUGGUAUUAUUUGUUGCCUAUAAAUACCAUUCCUAUCCUUCUUCUUCCUCUACAAACAUAACAUGGCCCCCUAUCUCUUUCUCUGCCUAUUCCUCUUCUUUCCCCAUCUUUAUGCUUCUUUUUCUUCUUCAGGAUCUCACUCCUGCUCUUCACUAAUCCAAUUUAAGGACUCUUUUUCCAUCACAGAGGAUGCUUCCUGGUAUUGCGAUGAGAUUGCUGGCCUUAAAUCUCAUCCCAAGACAGAUUCAUGGAAGGAGGGUACAGAUUGCUGCUCAUGGGAUGGGGUCACUUGUGACCACCUAAAUGCUCAUGUUAUUGCCCUUGACUUGAGCUGCAGUUGGCUAUCUGGCAACUUCCCUUCCAAUACCACUCUCUUCCUUCUUCCUCACCUUCAAAAACUCAACCUUGCCUACAAUCAUUUCAAUCAUUCCAAAAUUCCAUCCGAGUUCGGUCGGGUUUACAAGCCUAUUCUACCUCAACCUUUCUAAUACAUGGUUUGCAGGAGAAGUCCCAUCCCAAGUCUCGCACCUGUCAAAAUUGGUUUCACUUGAUCUCUCCUCUGAGUUUGGUGAACAAACAAUUGACAAACAUGCUCUGGAGGGACUUGUUCACAACCUAACCGAGGUCAGACAUCUGUUUUUGGAUGGAAUGGACAUGUCUUCUGUUAAUGCUCAUGUCUUCAUGAAUCUAUCCUCUUCUCUAAGGUCUCUCAGUCUUGCUUAUUGUGAUUUGCAAGGAAAAUUCCCAAAAAACAUUUUUGAUUUGCCAAACCUCAAUCUCCUCAACUUGAGAGGCAACCAAAACCUCAAUCUUGAUCCUUUGAAGUUCAAUCGGAGCAGCAAUCUUGAACAUUUGGAUCUGUCGUGGAUGUCCUCCUCUACAGAAUCCAUUGAUUCAGUUGAUAAUCUACAGGCCUUAAAGUACUUAGCUCUAUCAGGAAAUUCUUUCUUUCAACGAUUGUCUGUCUCAAUCACAAAAUUAUCUUAUUUGGAGUACUUGACACUUGAAGGCGCAAAUUUUUUUGGAGGAUUGCCUGACUCGAUGGGGAAUCUCGUGUCCUUGAAGUGUUUAGACUUGAGAUCAAACAAAUUGAGUGGACAAAUUCCAUUGUCAAUUCUAAACCUAACGCAGUUGGAAUACUUGGAUAUAUCUGAAAAUUCAUUAGAAGGUUCCAUUCCAGAUGAGGUAACCGCUUUUCCUAAUCUAAAACAUUUAGACUUAUCUGACAAUUUACUCAAUGGAACACUUCCGUCAUGGUUGUGUACUGUUCCCUCCUUAAAGAUAAUAUUUCUCUUUCAAAAUCAAUUCAGUGGGCAUAUCAAAGAAUUCCAAUCCAAAUCACUAGAAUUGAUAGUGUUACAGAAUAAUAAACUCCAAGGUCCUCUUCCAUCUUCAAUAUUCCAACUUCUCAAUCUUACAUCGCUUGCUUUAUCCUCAAAUAAUCUUAGUGGUGUCAUAGAGUUUAGCAUGUUCUCAAACCUUCCAAAUCUCGAAUAUCUUGACCUUUCAUAUAACAGCCUAUCCUUAACAUCUAAUACUACUUCUACUGUUAAUCAUAUAUUGCCUAAUCUUACAGACGUACUUUUGUCAUCUUGCAAUCUUAGUGAAUUCCCCCAAUUUUUGAAAGGGCUUAAAAGUUUGGAAAGGUUAGACCUCUCUUGCAACAAAAUUGAAGGCAAGAUUCCACAGUGGAUGCAAGAGGUGGGGAAUGUCUCUUUGACUUACUUCAACGUAUCUCACAACUCUUUGACAGAAGUUGAGCACUUUCCAUGGAAGAAUAUUGCAUUUCUUGACUUAAGCUCCAAUUUGGUCAGUGGAAAUCUUCCGAUUCCAGCUUCGACGAUCAGAGUCUUUCUGAUCUCAAAUAAUAGUUUCAAUGGAGAGGUCUCUUCUUUAAUAUGCAAUGCCAGUUCUCUUCAAAUUCUUGAUUUGUCCCACAAUAACUUGAGUGGAACAAUUCCGCAAUGUUUCGGAAAUUUGAGCGACAGCCUUGAAUUCUUGAAUCUGAAGAAGAACAAGUUUUAUGGGACGAUUCCUCCAACAUUUGCAGAGGGAUGCCAGUUGACUAAUUUCAACUUAAAUGGAAAUCUGUUAGAAGGGCCUUUGACACCAUCCAUCCUUAAUUGUAGAGGUCUGGAAGUGCUAGAUCUUGGUAACAACAAGAUCAAUGAUACAUUUCCUCAUUGGUUGGGAAAUCUUCCAUAUUUGCAAGUUCUUGUAUUGAAGUCAAAUCAUAUGCAUGGUUCUUUGCGUGUCAAUAGCUCCAAGUCUAGCCCCUUUUUCUCUAAAAUCCAAAUUUUUGACCUCUCAAGUAAUUAUUUUUCUGGACCCCUACCUGUGAGGUACAUCAACAGCUUCAAGGCUAUCAGAAAUCUAGAGAAGAUUCGUAGUACAGUGUCGUACAUGGGGGUGAAUGGUCGGAAUGGUAGUGGCUUCUAUACCUAUUCCAUUGGAAUUGUUAUGAAAGGACAAGAUAUGGAAUUGGUGAAAAUUUUCACCAUGUGGAUGAUCAUUGAUCUAUCAAACAAUCAGUUUGAAGGGGGUAUUCCAGAGGUUUUUGGAAAGCUUAACUUACUGAAAGGGCUCAACCUUUCUCAUAAUAACCUUAGUGGUGGUAUCCCCACCUCAAUAGGGAAUUUGACAAGUCUUGAAUGGUUGGACCUAUCUUCAAACAGGUUGUCUGGGACGAUUCCAAAUAGAUUGGCAGAUCUGGCAUUUCUUUCGUCCUUCAAUGUUUCUGAAAAUCAACUCCAUGGUCAGAUUCCUCAAGGAAAACAAUUCAACACAUUUGGAAAUGAUUCAUAUCAAGG
rnacentral:lncRNA from 1 species